rnacentral:tRNA from 1 species
CUUGCUUUAGUUUAAUUUAAGAAUGUGGGUUUGGGGACCCUUGGUCUCGUGGAGAGGUUUGG